AGCGCUUCGGGACAACGCGGGGCCGUCCUCGCUGACAGGAGUCCAGUCUCCUCAGGACCUGCCCGGAGGUGCCGACGCGGGAGGAAGUUGUGAGGAGAAAGUGGGGAGACUUCCUGGGCUUGCGCACACGCGUUCCCCGCGGGCUCGACUCUGCGCCCAGCUGAGAGCAGUUGGGUCUCCUCGGGCACCGCCGGGGCUUCGGCUGGGACGCCCGGGUCAGCGUCUCUGCUGACAGAGCUCAGUCUCCUUAGGACUCGCCGGGGUUUCAGCUUUAGGACAACACGGGGCUGCGUCCACGCUGACGGGAGCUGGGUUUCCUGACGACCCAGGCGACGCCGGGAGGAAAAGGCACUUUGCAGAUGCACGGAGUAAAGAGGUGAGACAGGGUAACCCUCCUGUCAUGAAACACACAUACCAGCGGGCGAUGUGGAGCAGCGCUAACAGCAAGCAGCCACCAGGAAAUCAAGAUUUGGAAGAAGGUGGAGGAACUGGACUGGG